rnacentral:rRNA from 1 species
ACCGUGUCUGUAUCAUCUAGGCUUCGGCCUGGAUGGACUUGCAGGCUAUGCCUGCCAACGACAAUUUGACUUGAGGGAAAAAACUAGGGGAAAUGUGGCCCACUUGUGGGUGUUAUAGUCCCUUAGAAAAUACCUUGGGUUGGAUUGAGGAACGCAGCGAAUGCUUAUUGGCGAGUUUUCCAGGAAGGUUUUCUGAGGUACUACGGUAUCAAGGUUGAUCUUUUUGGUUAUACUUCUAUUCGCUUAGGUUGUUGGCUUAAUGACUCUAAAUGACCCGUCUUGAAACACGGACCAAGGAGUC